AUCACACACACAUUAAAGCCCAGGUCUUCUCCUAAUGGAGCCGGUGCAGUCUACUGUCACACAGGCUACUGUGGGAAACACACGCAAGUUCAUUAACUAUACAUCAACCAUGUCUUCUCUCCAGGUGUCAUCCAAGUAGGAGAGAAGGAGCUGGAGUCCUAGGAGUAAGGCAGUUAUAAGGGAUGCACUUUAGGGUGAUCAAUCUUUUUAGAAAUCAAUGAUUAUGACGAGAGGUAAUAAAUGACCACAGGUCUAAGUGUAUGUGUUUUUGAUCAGUGGGGGAAGGUUGCAAAAAUUAACUAUGAACUCAAGCUGCUUUCCAAUUCUCUGGAGUGUGAGGGUCAUCACUACAAUAAUAGGAAGUACAUCCACAGCCUAAUAUUACAUGUCCCUGUUUGUAUGACCUGGGUGAAGGACAACAAUUUGGAGUUAGAGCAAGAGAGAUGAUACCACAUCUCUCCAAAACAGGAUUAAAGUGUAGAGGAAAGAGCUGACAGUGUAGUGGAGUGAAGAUGCUGUGAUGGUUGUGUGAGGCGAAGUAGGAGGAGGGUUUUUACAACUAGUGUUUAGAAUAGGAUCCAUUGGAGGGGAGUUGGUCAGUGUUUUUCUGGUGGAGGGGGAUUGAUGUUGAGAGGAACUUGAGUGGGGUUUGAAGGAUGUGGGAGGAGAUUAGGUUGAUUGGUAAGCCAAGCGUGAGGUGAGCCUUGAUUAGGGAUGGAUGUUAACCUAAUGAUUCUAUUUAACCCGGCUUAGCACCUGUCAAUUCUAGUCUGCAAUUGAUUUAAUUCACAGUGGAAACCGUUCCUAACAAUUUAAUUAAUCUGGUCCAACCACUUUGCAAUUACCUGGUUUGCCAUCUCACAAUAAUAUGUCUUACGAGUUUUAGUCACUGUCUGCUUACAUUUUAAGAAUGACAUCAAAUGUUUUUUAUUUUCUCCUGUCUCCCUGCAGGAUUGAUCUACCUCCAACACACAAGCCGCCUCCUCCAUACACAGAGAGACCCCCAGCCAUCCCUCUGGCUGUCCAUGCACCACAGGUGGCCUCCCUGUCACAGGCUCGCAGGGCUGAUCGCCGGUUUGAGAUGGCAGAGAGAACACCCACCAGGCUCGCGCACCAGGAACCCCGAAGCCCCUCCCAUCAGCCACUGUCUUAUCAGGAAUGGGUGUGUCACCAGCAUGGGACGGACCGCAUCUUCAUCAACCACCGGGAAAACUAUGUGUGACAGACACACCUUGAGCCCUUCUAUGGACCUGUCACUCACCCCGUCCCCACCCAUGCUCACAGAGGACAUCCUUUACAAUGUGAAGAACACAGGCAAAAAAACAGCUCAUGAUUUGAUCAAGCCUUCACAGAUGUGUCUACUCCACAUUUAAACUCAUUUGAGAGCAGCAGUUAUCAGCUGUAAGAAACAAGACUAAUGAGGCCGAAGCAUAAACUGCUGAGUUUCUUGAAGGAACACAUCCAUACACCCCCUCCACUCCACAACCAUAAACCACUACACACCCUUUCUGUUCCCAACCACAUUAAUAAACAGAGCAUAACAGUAGGGGGAAUGGGAGGAAACCGACUUGGUACAGUACGACAAAAUAGAUAUUUAAAACAACUCACUAAUCUCUGUUGUGUACUAUAUAUAUAUAGGAGUGGAAUAAUAUGAAAACACCAUACUAAUAUUUAACAUGUAUAGGAAUUAAAUAAGUUACUAUGUCACUGUAGCUAUAGGGAUAUUGUAAUUAUGUGAUAAUCCUGUGUUCAGUUAUGCUUUUUGAAUUAGAUUUAAACCUAAUUAAAACAUUUUAUAUAAUCCCACAGCACCCCUAACACUUGUACUUGACUUGUUCCCCCCUAAUAGCACUGACUUUGCUGAUAGCUCCUUUAGUGAGGAAAAAUGUACUGACGAUGACUGAGAUAUGUGGUAGCUAUCUUAAGAUGAAUGCACUAACUGUAAGUCACUUGAUAAGAGCGCCUGCUAAACUACUAAAAUAAAUGUAAUCAUUAUUUAUAUAAUUGUGGUAUUAAAUAUCAGACAUAUCUCAAAAUGGUUCUGGUAAACACGCAGCCAAUUUAGUAGGAUUCUAACUUUCUGGUAUAAGAACAAAGAUGGCAACAUUGUCUGAAGCAGGUUCUGGGUGCCCGUUUCGUCUUCUGCCCUAUCGCUACACAGGUGAUUUAGAUAAUCAACUUGUCAUCAAGCUCGGAUGAUUUGAAUCAGCUGUAUAGUGUAAGGGGAAAAUAACUAAAAGUACACCCAGGGCGGGCCCCAGUACCGAGUUUGGAAAAUCCUGGUCUGAAGGACCAGGCACCAGUGUUACAUCAGGAUCAAGUAUUUCAUUGAGUAGGCUAUAUCAGAUAGUAACAUAUAAUGUAAAUUCGCUGUAUACAAAUGUUCAGAACUAAAAUGUUCAGAAAAUAUAAAUGUGGUGUAGUUCUAGUGUUUUGAGAAGUCAACUGAAUCAUAUAAAAUAUUUACUUCCGUACAUGAAAUUUAAACAUGAAUCGUUCUUUCGUCAGUGAGAAAAUCAUAUUUAGUUUUUUUUCAUUGCAAGUUUGUAGUUUUUGAAAUUUUCUUGUGCCAUGUUAAUAUUUGAAGGGGGAUUUUUUUCCACUAUAUAUAUGAUCCGUUUUUAAAAUUGUAAUUCUUACAUUGUGACUAGUUAAAUAUAUGCAGUGUUUUCUUUUUUUAUAUAUAUUAAACAU
ensembl:lncRNA